GAUGAACGCUGGCGGCGUGCCUAAUACAUGCAAGUCGAGCGAACGGACGAGAAGCUUGCUUUUCUGAUGUUAGCGGCGGACGGGUGAGUAACACGUGGAUAACAUACCUAUAAGACUGGGAUAACUUCGGGAAACCGGAGCUAAUACCGGAUAAUAUUUUGAACCGCAUGGUUCAAAAGUGAAAGACGGUCUUGCUGUCACUUAUAGAUGGAUCCGCGCUGCAUUAGCUAGUUGGUAAGGUAACGGCUUACCAAGGCAACGAUGCAUAGCCGACCUGAGAGGGUGAUCGGCCACACUGGAACUGAGACACGGUCCAGACUCCUACGGGAGGCAGCAGUAGGGAAUCUUCCGCAAUGGGCGAAAGCCUGACGGAGCAACGCCGCGUGAGUGAUGAAGGUCUUCGGAUCGUAAAACUCUGUUAUUCGGGAAGAACAUAUGUGUAAUUAACUGUGCACAUCUUGACGGUACCUAAUCAGAAAGCCACGGCUAACUACGUG
rnacentral:rRNA from 1 species